rnacentral:ncRNA from 1 species
AGGGCGGUAUCCGAAAAGCCGAAAGAGUAGGAG